rnacentral:rRNA from 1 species
GACGAACGCUGGCGGCGUACCUAAUACAUGCAAGUCGAGCGGACUUUCAAGAAGCUUGCUUUUUGAAAGUUAGCGGCGGACGGGUGAGUAACACGUGGGCAACCUGCCUGUAAGACGGGGAUAACUCCGGGAAACCGGGGCCAAUACCGGAUAAUAUCUUUCUUCGCAUGAAGGAAGGUUGAAAGGCGGCGCAAGCUGCCGCUUGCAGAUGGGCCCGCGGCGCAUUAGCUAGUUGGUGAGGUAACGGCUCACCAAGGCGACGAUGCGUAGCCGACCUGAGAGGGUGAUCGGCCACACUGGGACUGAGACACGGCCCAGACUCCUACGGGAGGCAGCAGUAGGGAAUCUUCCGCAAUGGACGAAAGUCUGACGGAGCAACGCCGCGUGAGCGAAGAAGGUCUUCGGAUCGUAAAGCUCUGUUGUCAGGGAAGAACAAGUACCGUUCGAAUAGGGCGGUACCUUGACGGUACCUGACCAGAAAGCCACGGCUAGCUACGUGCCAGCCGCCGCGGUAA